UCCCUGGACAUGAUAAAUUAUGAGGUGAAGUAUAUCGUGGGCGGCUCCGACAUAUAACAAGCUGUAUUAUGGAGUUGCAAAGCGUUAAGUCAUCUUAAUAAAUGCUCGUCCGGGACAAGCCGGUCGUUGCUGCACCAGCUCUCUGCGCCGGCGCAACCGUAAAAGAACACGUUCUUCUUGCGCGAAUGACCGUGGUAGUCGCAAUAAACUACCGGAGGUUUCUUCCAAACACGCACCAAAUAUUCUAUUAGGCCCUUGAAAUAAAAAAAAACUUUGAACAAAUUUUUCUUACUUGUUUGUCUAUAACAUGAUGAUCCUAUAAGA